rnacentral:lncRNA from 1 species
AUGACCUUCUUUGUCUCUUUUGAUCUUUGUUGCUUUAAAGUCUAUUAUAUUAGAGAUGAGAAUUGCAACUCCUGCUUUUUUUUGCUCUCCAUUUGCUUGGUAAAUCUUCCUCCCUCCCUUUAUUUUGAGCCUUUGUGUAUCCUUGCAUGUGAGAUGGAGUCUUGCUCUGUCACCAGGCUGGAGUGCAGUGGUGCAAUCUUGGCUCACUGCAACCUCCUCCUCCGGGUUCAAGCAAUUCUCUCGCCUCAGCCUCCCGAGUAGCUGAGACUACGGACUUGUGCCACCAUGCCCAGCUGAUUUUUGUAUUUUUUUAGUAGAGUCGGAGUUUCACCAUGUUGGCCAGGAUGGUCUCGAUCUCUUGACCUUGUGAUCCGCCCACCUCAGCCUCCCAAAGUGCUGGGAUUACAGGUGUGAGCCACCGGGCCCCGCCUAAUUUAAAAUCUUUUAAUCUCCUAUCCCCGCUUUGUAAAUAGUGAAGGAUAUGAACACAUGCUUUACAAAAGGCUUUGCUGUUUCUCUAGUGAGAUAAAUUUUCUAAAUGACUAUCUUCAGGCCUGGCAGGCUGAGUUUCUAGACAAGGCUAUAUACAUCAUACAUCGUCCAUCUUGGUGGUGUCCUCAUAAAAGGAAAGACUGAAACUCCCAAGAGAAAGAUAGAUGGUGAUGGCUUUAGGUGCAGACGUAGUUUACUGUGGUUAUGUCUGAAAUCAAUGGACAAUCCCAUCUGACCCAGAUUACUUUGGACAAAUCCAGCCCCCCAACUAUACACCGUCUUGCUCCAAGAUUCAUCCCUUUGAAUUAAUGAGCAAACCUUUCUAAGUAGGACCAUCUCUGGGAAUGUUAACUCAUUGUAACCCUGCAAGUCCCUCAUACCUUAGUGUGAUGUUGUUGAGUGCAGGUAAUGAGAACACCCUGACUGAGGUAAGCACUGAGCUAACUGAGGAGCUGACACAAAAAGCCUCUUCUCCUCCCAAAGAGCAUCCAAAGGAAGACACUUAUUAUUCCAGGGAAGAGAGUGCAAGAGGAAGGGAAAAAAGAGAUUGAAGAACAAUAAUGGCAAAAUCAGGUUAUUUCAUUAUGUUUUAAAAGCAAGGGUAGGAUUAUUAAAGUCUCCCACAGUUGCUUGGAAGAAACAAGGCUUGUCUGAUACCUCAGAGCAAACAGCAUUCGGUCUCCCAGUACUACUCUAUAAUAGUCUGUUUACUCAGAACACUGGAAAUCACGUUAACAUGGCUUAACUGAAGGGUGGUUCCCUUAAGUGCUAUGCAUUUCUCUGUGAGAGAUGUCAAUGACUGCUUUGUAAAUUGUAUCAGUUUCUUGACAAAAUGGCAGACAUCUAUCAAUGUGAACACAAGAUGAAUCACAUAACUCCAGAAAGGCAGAGGUGUUUGCCAAAGUAAAGCUUCAAGGAGUUUAACAAGCCUUAGACUGCUUCAUCUUUCACAUCAGCAAAGUUCAUGAGGCUCAAGAAAGACACUAACACCUUUUAGGUCCCAUGAUCUGUAUAUAUUUUUCCCCUCAACUCCCACCCGCUUUUUUGCUUAACAUUGUUUGCCUCCAUCUUCAAGAAAUGCUAAACCGUAAAUGCAUUCUAAAUCUUGUUAUUUGUGAAAAUACUUUAAAAAUUAUUUUUGCUACUCAAAGUAAAAAAGUUAAUCUUUAAAAUGUCAUUUAAGAUGAAUUCAGGUAGGUGGGUGCAGUGGCUCACACUUGUAAUCCCAGCACUUUGAGAGGCUAAGGUAGGCAGAUAACUUGAUGUCAAAAGUUUAAGACCAGCCUGGCCAACAUGGUGAAACCUCAUCUCUACUAAAAAUACAAAAAAAAUUAGCCAGACCUGGGAGUACACACCUGUAAUCCCAGCUACUCAGGGGGCUGAGGCAGGAAGAUCACUUGAACCUGGGAGGCAGAGGCUGCUGUGAGCCAGGAUUGCACAAUUGUACUCCAGCCUGGGUGCCAGAUACUAUAUCUCAAAAAAAGAAAAGAAAAGAAUAAUGAUGAAUUCAGAAGCGAGGAAUAAAAAAUAAAUAAUUCAAGAUAGGUGAUUACAUAUUAACUAAAAUGGUUAAAUUAGCAGAAUAUUCAAAAUGGUUAAAUUAGAAUAUUCUGCUAACCAUUUUUAUGGUUAAAUUAGCAGAAUAUUCACAUCAACCUUUCUCAAAAUAUGGGCCUAAAACUAUUUGUUUCAAAAUUGCUUUAAAAAAGUAAAACCCGACAGGGAGCUCAUGCCUGUAAUCUCAACACUUUGGGAGGCAGAGGCAGGUGGCUCACUUGAGGUCAGAAGUUCGAGACCAGCCUGAUCAACAUGGUGAAACGCCAUCUCUACUAAAAAUACAAAAAUUGGCCAGGCGUGGUGUCACACAGCUAUAAUCCUAGGUACUUGGGAAACAAAGACCGGAGAGUUGCUUAAACCUGGGAAUCGGAGGUUGCAGUGAGCCAAGAUCGCACCACUGCACUUCAGCCUGGGCAACAGGGUGAGCCUGUCUUAAAAUAAAUAAAUAAAUAUAUAGAUAAACGAAAAAGAAAAAGAAACCCCCCAAAAACGACAACAAAAAACUUUACCCAAGACUAACUGAACUCAACUUUCAUGUUUUCAGUUAGCGUCCAAUAAAUCAGUAGUGUAUUCUAGGUUUUUCUAUUGUCUUCUGAUUAUAAAAAGCAUGUUGGGAUAUCUGCAGUUCUGGGUAGCCAGCCUUCCCCCAUGGCUAUCCUUUGACCACAGCCAAGUCUCCUAACCUUCUGUGUGCCACCACGCCAACUGGAGCUGGUAAGCUUAGGAAUCCCUUCUCACAGCAACAUUUGCAAAUGCACAAAACACAUAGGAUUACCAAAGAAACUAUAUUGAGAUGAAUUGCUUAUAUUUUGAGAUGGAGUCUUGCUCUGUUGCCCAGGCGGGAGUGCAGUGAUGUGAUCUCAGCUCACUGCAACCUCUGCCUCCCAGGUCCAAGCAAUUCUCCUGCCUCAAUAUCCUGAGUAGAGGGGACUACAGGUCUGCGCCACCAUGCCUGGCUAAUUUUUGUAUUUUUAGUAGAGACAGGGGUUUCAUCAUGUUGGCAAGGCUGGUCUUGAAUGCCUGACCUCAGGUGAUUCACCCACCUUGGCCUCCAAAAGUGCUGGGAUUACAGGCAUGAGUCACUGCACCCAGCCUGAGAUGCACUUAUCAUAAAAUGU